GGGAUCGAUCGACCGGUUCGGAUAAAGCCUGUUUGGAUACCCGUUUAAGGGAGGAAAUGUUUUAUUAAAUAAUUCUUUUCUUUUAUUUCCCCCCCCAAAUCGCCGUUUUCCCCAAACACUGCCGAUCCCGACCCUCUCUUCCCCGACUCCUCUCUGCCCUAUCCUCGUCUCUGCUCCGACGAGGCCGACACCAAGGAGUAGAUCGCCGGCAAUAAUCUUCCUCUUCCGAGCUCCGUCGAACUCAAGCGCGGGCCUUUCCCUCGCGUUGCCCUCGGUUGCUAUGGCCGACAUCAGAUGCCAACCAACGAGCCGAGCCUCUCUCGCGUGGACGACACGACGCCGAUGAUCGCCAGUGUAGACCUAUCCUCGGAGCUUGUCGGAGAUCAAUUAAGGAGGCACGGCUCAUCUUGAUUUUCUCUUCUCAACCCUUCCCUGAUCUUGCCUCCCGGUUCUGCCGAUCCUUUCUUCCCCGAUUCGAUCGCCGGCUUGAAGAUGCCCUAGGGUUUCGAAGGUCACGGUUUUGGAGAAGUUGGUAUCAGGGAGGUGUUGUUGGAUUAGGGGAAGGAAUCGAAUCAGACUUGUGCUAGGUUUUCCCUGAUCAGAUUGGUCAUCUUCUUGUGGUUUGUAAUCGAUCAGUGAUGAUCUUCCGAUUGGGUGACUUCUUCUGGAGAUGACCUUUAGAGAUCAGCUUCUUUGCUGUGUUUGAGGUAUCAGCUGAAGUGGGGAAGAAUUCCAGUAGGGCUAGCUGUGAUUCCAUUGAUCCAGCCAGGAAAAUUCCUCUCACUGUGCUCUGUGGUGUUCUUGAUCAAGCAACUCACCUUUGUUUCAGCAGACACCUCAUCCAGCAGCUGUGCUGGUUCUAGCAUCAACAACAUUUGAGAUCAAGGAUUCUGAUUCGAGACAGACGUCUCGACGUUGACUUCA